rnacentral:rRNA from 1 species
GGAACGAACGCUGGCGGCGUGUUUAAGACAUGCAAGUCGCACGGGAUUGGAUGAGUAGUAAUACGAUUCCAGCCCAGUGGCGCACGGGUGAGUAACACGUGAAUUACAUGCCCUUCAGUGGGGAAUAGCCCAGGGAAACUUGGAUUAAUACCCCAUGGUAUCGCAAGAUUAAAGGUGGCCAGCAAUGGCUGUCGCUGAAGGAUUGGUUCGCGCCCUAUCAGCUUGUUGGCGGGUAACGGCCCACCAAGGCUACGACGGGUACCUGGUCUGAGAGGACGAUCAGGCACACUGGAACUGAGACACGGUCCAGACACCUACGGGUGGCAGCAGUCGAGAAUAAUUCACAAUGGGGCAACCCUGAUGGUGCAACGCCGCGUGGAGGAUGACGGUCUUCGGAUUAGUAAACUCCUGUCAUCCGGAGUAAGACCUGGCUGUUAAUAGCAGACGAGGUUGAUAGUACCGGAAGAAGGAAGGACGGUACGUAACGUUCGGUGCCGUAGCGAGCCCGACGGUUAACG